GACGAACGCUGGCGGCGUGCCUAAUACAUGCAAGUCGAGCGGACAGAAGGGAGCUUGCUCCCGGAAGUUAGCGGCGGACGGGUGAGUAACACGUGGGCAACCUACCCUGUAGAUCGGGAUAACAUCGAGAAAUCGGUGCUAAUACCGGAUAAUCAUUUGAAGUGCAUGCUUCGAAUGUAAAAGAUGGCUCCGGCUAUCACUACGGGAUGGCCCCGCGGCGCAUUAGCUGGUUGGUAAGGUAAUGGCUUACCAAGGCAACGAUGCGUAGCCGACCUGAGAGGGUGAUCGGCCACACUGGGACUGAGACACGGCCAGACUCCUACGGGAGGCAGCAGUAGGGAAUCUUCCGCAAUGGACGAAAGUCUGACGGAGCAACGCCGCGUGAGUGAUGAAGGUUUUCGGAUCGUAAAGCUCUGUUGUUAGGGAAGAACAAGUGCCGUUCGAAUAAGGCGGCACCCUGACGGUACCUAACCAGAAAGCCACGGCUAACUACGUGCCAGCCGCCGCGGUAACAC
rnacentral:rRNA from 1 species